AUCGCAACGUCUGACGCUCCACAAAAGUAAAGAAGCAAAUUAAGUCUGCAUCACCACAAGGCUUUUCACCUUUCACAGGGAGGAAGAGAGAAGGGAAGAGAAGAGGGAGCAAAAGAACAAUCCUCUCUUGACUUAGAGGUGACAUGACGAGCCCUCCAUCUUCUAAAUCCUUGGCUAGUUUCUGACAACGUUUCUUGGCUGUGAGGUUUUUCUUCCUGUUUUUUCCUCUCCUUUGGUUCUUAUUUUCCUUGGAGGAGUGUCAGUGGUGGUAGCCUAGGAUUGCAGGCUGACUGAAGCGAGGAGAGGGGACCACUGAGAGACUGGGGGAAAACAAAAGAACCUCCGGAUUCUGCAGUUGGUUCUGCUCUUACUAGGAACUUUUUUUGGUCACUAAUCUCAUCUGGUCUGUGACCAUGGGUGGAUUUAGGAGAACGUGCUGAGAUUGCCGGGUAAAAAAAGAACAUACCUCCAACCAUCUGACCAGAGAACUCAGAUUCCUGCCAUGUCCUGGUUCGUGUCCCUGUGGAUUAGCCUGAGCCUGUUUGUACUCUGCCAGGCCACCCUUUAUGAGACCAUCCAGCAACACCAUGUGGCCAGGCCGGGGCACAACGCUAUUCAGAUCCUAGAGGGAGGUACGUGUGAAGUUAUCGCGGCCCAUCGGUGCUGUAAUAAAAACCGCAUCGAAGAAAGGUCCCAGACGGUCAAGUGUUCCUGUCUGCCGGGGAAAGUGGCGGGGACGACGCGCAACAAGCCCUCGUGUGUAGAUGCGUCCAUCGUGAUUGGGAAGUGGUGGUGUGAGAUGGAGCCUUGCCUGGAGGGAGAGGAGUGCAAGACGCUGCCUGACAACUCCGGAUGGAUGUGCUCGUCUGGGAAUAAGAUCAAGACCACCAGGAACACCCAGCCAUACUCACCUUUUUAACUCUGGAAGCAAAAUGCAGGGGAUGAUCCUACAGAAACCGAGCUGCAUUCUUGCUUCCGUAAAGAUUCAUCCAAGGACCUAACAAAGAACCACCUCACAGGGACUAUGUGUGGAUUCCCUCAAAUCAGAACUGACUAAACCAUUACAUUACGGGGCAACUGGAUUACCUGUGACCGACAGAAGGAUAUCCUCGGAGAUACAAAUAGCUUGAUUUGUGUGGUGGCAAGGAUUUCUAUAAAGGGACGGGCUAAUCCUGUUUUUGAUCAAUGAGCCCCCUCGUUGGUGACUUUUUCUCUUCUCAUGCCUUUGUUUUUCUGCUGUAAAAAACUCAAAAGAGCUUAGAAGGACGUUUUAGGGGAUAUACAAACGAUGUCUGAGACAAAUUGGAUGAUCCCAACUGAGCAACUAGUGGAUCCCCAGCAAAGUGGAUGUUAACCAGGAUGUGAUCCAACUGAGAUUUCAGAACAUGGAAAUGAUUUUCCAAGUGUUUUUUUCUCCGACGGUUAGAUUUGUCCUUUAUCCCUUGAGUGACGACGGAGCAUGCCAAUUUGGCUCAGACGUGACGAGUCCAAGCAGCUUGCAGUGUAAUACAGAAUGACUGGAGCAGGUUGAGUCCGAUUCUGUUGCCCCACUCCACCCCCUACACUUUCAGAGCCAAUCAACAGCAGCAACAAAUGCACCGCAAGGUCACAUGGUCAACAGACAGCCCAUACACACACAGUUCUUGUCCAAUAUGUUUUAUUUUGUGUUUCUUUGGCAUGCUCAGUGUAUUUCAUUGGAGCUUUCUUUGUACUGACAGUAACCUGUACGUAAAAUGUAUAUAUAAAUAUAAAAUGUAUAUAUCCGCAUAGUUCCAUUCUAAAAACAAAGACUGUGCAGAUCUAACAAAAGACACGUUAAAGAAUGAACAAGCUUUGAAUGGAGAUCUUUAUCUGAAAUCAUAAUUUUUGUCCCUACAGUAUAUGUGGAGUUCUGUGAAUUCCCCGUCUCAAAGGUUGCCAGAGCAAUAUCCUCCUUCUGUAGUGGACAUUUUGCUGUGUUUGCUUGUGUUUGGAGGCUUUGUGAAAAGGUCAGCUGGAUCAGUUGGGUGAGAGAGAGCAAAAAAAAAGAGAAAUUCAACACACUGUACACACCCCAGACCGUCCAGCCAUAGAGAACUAGAGAUGAAGUAUAUAAUGUUCAGACAAGGCCAGGGCUUCAAACUAUAAUUUUUUUUCGCCCCGUUUCAUCUGAUAUUGGGAAUAGAUGUAGACGUGGACAUGCUUGUUUCUGUGUAGCUCACAUGCAAUGCACCGGACAUGGAGAGAAGAAAGUGGAUUGCUGAUAAUAAAAAAAAAAAGUCAUGAAAAAAAAUGAAGCUGUCAUCUCAGCCAGAUACACGGUACAGUAACCCCAGUAGAUAUACAAACAGUCCA